GAUGAACGCUGGCGGCUUGCCUAAUACAUGCAAGUCGAGCGAACAGACGAGGAGCUUGCUCCUCUGACGUUAGCGGCGGACGGGUGAGUAACACGUGGAUAACCUACCUAUAAGACUGGGAUAACUUCGGGAAACCGGAGCUAAUACCGGAUAAUAUAUUGAACCGCAUGGUUCAAUAGUGAAAGACGGUUUUUCUGUCACUUCUAGAUGGAUCCGCACCGCAUUAGCUAGUUGGUAAGGUAACGGCUUAACAAGGCGACGAUGCGUAUCCGACAUGAGAGUGAGUAGGGCCAAACAGAGACGUAGACACGGUAAAGAAACGAACGGAAGGCAGAAGUAGGGAAUCUUCCGCAAAAGGCGAAAGACAGAAGGAGCAAGACGGCGUGAGAGAUGAAGGUCUUCGAAGCGUAGAACACUGCUAAGAGGAAAAAACAAAUGUGAAAGUAACAAUGCAAGACUUGAAGGUACCUAAUCAGAAAGCCACGGGUAACUACGUG
rnacentral:rRNA from 1 species